rnacentral:rRNA from 1 species
GAUUGACAAACUGCGAACGGCUCAUUAAAACAGUCCCUUAAUGCUUUGAAGGGCAAAUUCUACACGGAUAACCGUGGGAAACCAAGGCUAAUACGUGCGUACGAUCCUUUCGGGUCAGCGUUUAUUAGAUAAAGAACCAACAUUUUGGUGCUUCAUGGUAACCAUUCGAAUCGCGGCUCGCUGCGAUGGUUCAUUCAAGUUUCUGACCUAUCAGCUCUCGACGGUCGGGUAGUGGCCCACCGUGGCUUUGACGGGUGACGGGGAAUUGGGGUUCGAUUCCGGAGAGGGAGCCUGAGAAACGGCUACCACGUCUAAGGAUGGCAGCAGGCGCGUAAAUUACCCAAUCCCGACUUGGGGAGGUAGUGACAAGAAAUAUCAACUCGAGGCAUAUGUCUUGUGAUUGCAAUGAGUAGAAUCUAAACGGUUCUACGAUUAACAAUUAGAGGGCAAGUCUGGUGCCAGCAAGCCCGCGGUAAUUCCAGCUCUAAUAGCGUAUAUUAAAUUUGUUGUCAUUUAAACGCUCGUA